AGAGUUUGAUCAUGGCUCAGGAUGAACGCUAGCGGCAGGCUUAAUACAUGCAAGUCGUGGGGCAGCACAGUGUAGCAAUACAUGGGUGGCGACCGGCAAACGGGUGCGGAACACGUACGCAACCUUCCUUUAACUGGAGAAUAGCCCGGGGAAACCCGGAUUAAUACUCCGUAACAUUAUGAAGUGGCAUCACUUUAUAAUUAUAGCUCCGGCGGUUGAAGAUGGGCGUGCGUCUGAUUAGGUAGUUGGCGGGGUAACGGCCCACCAAGCCUACGAUCAGUAACUGGUGUGAGAGCACGACCAGUCACACGGGCACUGAGACACGGGCCCGACUCCUACGGGAGGCAGCAGUAAGGAAUAUUGGUCAAUGGACGCAAGUCUGAACCAGCCAUGCCGCGUGGAGGAUGAAGGUCCUCUGGAUUGUAAACUUCUUUUAUUUGGGAAGAAACCCCCGAUUUCUAUUGGGGUUGACGGUACCAGAUGAAUAAGCACCGGCUAACUCCGUGCCAGCAGCCGCGGUAAUACGGAGGGUGCAAGCGUUAUCCGGAUUCACUGGGUUUAAAGGGUGCGUAGGCGGGUUGGUAAGUCCGUGGUGAAAUCUCCAAGCUUAACUUGGAAACUGCCGUGGAUACUAUCAAUCUUGAAUAUCGUGGAGGUGAGCGGAAUAUGUCAUGUAGCGGUGAAAUGCUUAGAUAUGACAUAGAACACCCAUUGCGAAGGCAGCUCGCUACACGGUUAUUGACGCUGAGGCACGAAAGCGUGGGGAUCAAACAGGAUUAGAUACCCUAGUAGUCC
rnacentral:rRNA from 1 species